CCAGUUGGAUUAUGAGCUUGUCUGACAGUCUGCAAAAGCUUGCUACGAAACCCCCCAGUAACGAGGCCACCCAUAUGAAAACUAAAGCAAUGUUCAAUUGUCAAGAAAAAUUUAUAUCCACAUGAAAUAUUUCGAGCUACAAUGGGUUCCCAUACCGAAGCAUCAUAUUCGAUGAUAUGGUAGUUAUCUAAAUUAUGGUAAUUCAAUGGAAAAUAAUUUCAUUAACCAAAUUCCGACAAAUUUACAUUAAAAACAUUU
rnacentral:sRNA from 1 species